GCGGUGGAUGAUGUGGUUUAAUUCGAUGCAACGCGAAAACCUUACCCACCUUUGACAUGGCAGGAAUCCCGAAGAGAUUUGGGAGUGCUCGAAAGAGAACCUGCACACAGGUGCUGCAUGGCUGUCGUCAGCUCGUGUCGUGAGAUGUUGGGUUAAGUCCCGCAACGAGCGCAACCCAUGCCAUUAGUUGCUACGAAAGGGCACUCUAAUGGGACUGCCGGUGACAAACCGGAGGAAGGUGGGGAUGACGUCAAGUCCUCAUGGCCCUUAUAGGUGGGGCUACACACGUCAUACAAUGGCCGGUACAGAGGGUAGCCAACCCGCGAGGGGGAGCCAAUCCCACAAAGCCGGUCGUAGUCCGGAUCGCAGUCUGCAACUCGACUGCGUGAAGUCGGAAUCGCUAGUAAUCGCGGAUCAGCAUGUCGCGGUGAAUACGUUCCCGGGUCUU
rnacentral:rRNA from 1 species